CUUUAGGAGUGUUUGGAGUAAACGCCGUACACCAGGGAGGCUGCAGACGGUUUCGUUAAGUGGGAGGACACUUUCUCCUUUACACCCAUCAUUGCUGAUAACCAAAACAGAGCUAGAGGGUGUCUAGAGCGAAGGCAGCCUUUAUAAGGAUGGGUAAGGAGAUGGAACGUUGGUUGGAUAAUGCUGGCCCCACUGCUCAGAGACAAAGCUCAGCUUCCACGAGAUGCCAAUAGAAAUCCUUGUAUGCAAGAACAGAAAAAUCUUGGCAGCUGAAACAACUAUAUUCUAGCAGGAAUCUCAACAAUGAUGCAUAAAUA